GUAUAACCUUGUUCCCACCCCUCUUUGCAGCUCUAUCCCUUUCUCUUAAUCCAAAUUACCUUUAACCCUCAGCCCUCAAUUCCACUUUUGCCUCCAGUUCUCAGGGAUUAGACAACCCAAGGUACGUGAUCAGACUUUGUUUUGAUUUUAGAAGAUCGUGCUGGCUGCAAGCCGACUGAAGAGAUUAGAGUGAAUACAGGCCAGCCGGCAGGGGGGCCAUUGCGCCCGCCCAGGUGAGACAGGGCUGGAGCUGGUGAGAGAGAUGGAGAGAGGAGGAUGGAUUCAAGAGAUACUCAGAAGGUAAAAAGAUGCUCCAUUUGUCUGGCACUAUACAGUUUCCAAAGCACUUUUGCAUCUAUUACCUCCUUUGACUUUCAACUGCCCUUAAGAUAUACUGAGUAGGUACAAUCAAAAUCUUGGCUUUAGUGAUGAUGAAACGAAGCUAGGAAGAGUGGAGGCAUUUGCCCAAAUUCACACAGCUGGUUAGAGCAGGGUUGGGACUCACAUCCACAUCCUCCGACAUCACAUCCAGGGCUCCUUUGCAGUCUCAGCAGACAGGCUACAGGAAAUAGCAGAUUGGGAGAGGAGUGGGAACAGGAGAAGCUGUCUUUGGCUCGGCUGGAAGGUGAAGGGAUUCCAGAUGCCGGUUCCUGGCUUGCUCCCCGCUCUCCAUUUGGCUUCAUCCUGGGGCUCUCUUCCUCCCCACAGAGGGGUGGUGGGCACUCUGUGCCACACCUCUCCUCUCUGGGAUCUCAGGUCUGUCCCUGAAACCUGCUGGUAGAAGAACCUCUAGAGUCCUUGCCUCCUUCCCACCGUGUGACCAUUGCCCAUUGGCACAUCUGUCAAGACACAGAUUUUUGGAAGAAAAAAGAAAGAGUGAAUGCUGCAGAGAUGGAUUGUUAAUUUUCCAAAUGAGAUAUGACUCUGAGAUCCCACCUACCCAGCUGGUAGGACGUUCCACCAUGCUCCCUAAGGUGGUUUGAGUGUUUGGAAUGACAAAGACUCUCUCAUCACCCUGAAACCUUAGUCCGGCGGCGCCUCUGAGUCUUCUGCUUGACGAGGCCUGACCUUGGGCUUCCCCAUGUCCUUUCAGAAUCCAGUUUGAGCAAGAAUCCUGCUAAGUCAGGCAUCUGUAGGCUUUGUUAAUCUAGGAGUCUGACCACCCACGUCCUCAGCUGGUCCUGUCCCUCCACAGCCCUCUUCUCCCAGCCCUUCAAUCAUCUCUCCGGACUAUAAGCUUAUUAAGAGCACGGGAGUAGUCAGCACAUCAAGUGUUUGGCACCGGGGUGAGGUGACUGACUACAGCUCUGGGAAGCUCCGCAGAACAAACACCAGAAUGAACGGUGUCUUCAUUCUCCAGUGAGAGGACUUUGCAUCCUGACUUUGUGUACUCUUUCAGGAGCAGACCACCAGAGACAGUCACACAAGGGGAGGGGAGAUGGCAUUGUGGGAGUGGCCCACUCCGUGAGCACAUGAAAUUUUAGAUCUCCACUUCCGUUUGGUAGCAUGUAAAACAGCAGACUCUUGGAAAGUCAUCUUUGGAGGGAACCCAAGAGGUCAUCAUAUCCAGAACUUCAUUUUACAAACAUGUAAACUGAGGCCAGAAAGAGAAAAUGACAGGAGCAAAUAGGUGAUGCUAAUAGGUGAUGGUGUUGGAUUCAAACCCAGGUGUUUUAUCCUGAUGCAAUAAGAAAUACGGAUUUGGUCUCUGUCCCUGGUUCCUGGCAUACAGCUCCUAAAACCCUUGUAAUCUCUGACAAAAGAAUGUCUUUUGGAUGCUAAGAGGAAACUGGUGGCUGGGAGCCCCUAGAUGGCUUCAGAAUGGGGGCUGGUCACCAGAAAGACCAUGGUAUGAUUAGAACCUCUUGAGAGGAGAGAGGGGCUGAAGGUUGCGUUGAUACCUUAUGGCCGAUGAUGUAAUCAAUCAGGCCUAUGUCAUAAAGCUUCCAUAAAAACCAAAGAAAACUUGGUUCAGGAGGCUCCAGACAGCUGAACCUGUGGAGGCGCCUGGAGGGUGGAUCUUCCGGAAAGCACAUGGCAGCUCCGCGCCCCUUCCCACAUGACUUGCCCUGUGCAUCUCUUCCAUCUGGCUGCUCAUCUGUAUCCUUUAUCAUAUCCUUUAAAAGAAACCGGUAAAUGUAAAGUUUCUACCAUUUCAAUUCUUUGUGGAACUCAAUCUGUUUUCUUAACUGAUGCAAAAAAGACCACUUAAAGGUAAGUCUUUUCAACAAUGGUGCUGGAAUAAUUGGACAAAUAUAGGCAAAAAAAUGACUCUCAAUCUAAGCCUCUCAAAGUUAUUAUAAAAUUAAUUCAAAAUUAAUUUUAAAUGCAUUAGUUUAUACAGGUGUGGUGGCUCACACCUGUAAUCCCAGCACUUUGAGAGGCCGAGGUGGGCAGAUCAUUUGAGUCCAGGAGUUUGAGACUAGCCUGGUCAAUAUGGCAAAACCCCAUCUUUACUAAAAAUACAAGAAAACUAGCCGGGGGGUGG
rnacentral:lncRNA from 10 species